rnacentral:rRNA from 1 species
GUAUAAGAGACAGCAGCAGCCACGGUAAUACGGAGGAUCCGAGCGUUAUCCGGAAUUAUUGGGUUUAAAGGGUGCGUAGGCGGAUAGAUAAGUCAGUGGUGAAAGACGGUGGCUCAACCAUCGCAGUGCCGUUGAUACUGUUUAUCUUGAAUAUGGAUGAGGUAGGCGGAAUGUGGCAAGUAGCGGUGAAAUGCAUAGAUAUGCCACAGAACACCGAUUGCGAAGGCAGCUUACCAAGGCAAAAUUGACGCUGAGGCACGAAAGCGUGGGGAUCGAACAGGAUUAGAUACCCCAGUAGUCCCUGUCUCUUAUAC